rnacentral:rRNA from 1 species
UACGUAGGGGGCGAGCGUUGUCCGGAAUGACUGGGCGUAAAGGGUACGUAGGCGGCUAGGUAAGUCAGAUGUGAAAGGCAUGGGCUCAACCCAUGUUAGCAUAUGAAACUGCUUAGCUUGAGUUAAGGAGAGGAAAGUGAAAUUCCUGGUGUAGCGGUGAAAUGCGUAGAUAUCAGGAGGAAUACCAGUGGCGAAGGCGACUUUCUGGACUUAGACUGACGCUGAGGUACGAAAGCGUGGGGAGCAAACAGG